AGAGAUGUGGCUCAGUGGCAGAGCACUUGCCUGGCAUGUGUGGGUCCCUGGGUUCAAUCCCCAGUACCACCA
rnacentral:tRNA from 1 species